rnacentral:rRNA from 1 species
GGACUACAAGGGUUUCUAAUCCUGUUUGCUCCCCUAGCUUUCGCGCCUCAGCGUCAGGUCUAAACUAGAAAACCGCUUUCGCCACAGGUGUUCUUCCACAUAUCUACGCAUUUCACCGCUACUUGUGGAAUUCCGUUUCCUCCGUCUACCCUCUAGAAAGACAGUUUCAUUUGCUGCUCCGGGGUUGAGCCCCGGGAUUUCACAAUACGACUUAUCUCUCCGCCUACACGCCCUUUACGCCCAGUAAAUCCGAUUAAUGCUCGCACCCUCCGUAUUACCGCGGCUGCUGGCAC